rnacentral:rRNA from 1 species
UACGUAGGGGGCAAGCGUUAUCCGGAUUUACUGGGUGUAAAGGGAGCGUAGACGGUGUGGCAAGCCAGAUGUGAAAGCCCGGGGCUCAACCCCGGGACUGCAUUUGGAACUGUCAGACUGGAGUGUCGGAGAGGCAGGCGGAAUUCCUAGUGUAGCGGUGAAAUGCGUAGAUAUUAGGAGGAACACCAGUGGCGAAGGCGGCCUGCUGGACUGUAACUGACACUGAGGCACGAAAGCGUGGGGAGCAAACAGG